CUUCUGAGGGAAGAAGUGUUGAACAGAAAGUCUUGGAGUCGAAUCCUGUUUUAGAAGCAUUUGGAAAUGCAAAGACUGUCAGGAACAAUAAUUCCAGUCGUUUUGGUAAGUUCGUGGA